rnacentral:lncRNA from 1 species
CGGACCCUAGUAUCCCUACGCGGCACCUUCCGACAAGGAGCUUAUGAAGGUGUUGUGCACCGUGUUAUGCAUCACCCCAGCUUGAUCGAUCAUAGCCCGAUAGAUCGCCUGAUGGACCAUCUCCGACAUUUUUCCCGAGUCCUUCGCAAUGGUGAUAUGGCGUGGUGUCUGGAGAGCGGCCUUCUUGAUGGUCUCGCCGCUUCUGUUGUGGCUGUAGGACUGGAGGCACAACUUUUUG